CUUGGAAAGAAGUGUAGUAGCUUCAUUGUAUUUUUGUUCACACAACUUCCAAGACACUGUAUGCUCACAUGAAUCUAUGGCGCUCAUAUGUAUGAUCGCUUCUCCUUAAUUGAUAGUCCGUCGCUGGAGAAAUGCCACAACUUGAAAUGCCAAGGCAAAUGAAACAACGAGUGAGGAGAAAAGAAAAGAAAUCUGUAGACAAAGUCGGUGAUCGGUGAAGGAGCAAGAAAAAUACACAAAAAAUGGGAAGAAUCUACUGAAACCUAAGGAAGUGGCUACAUAUUCACUAAACAAUAUACCGAUGUUGAAGGUUCCAAAACAUUUUUGGGUAGGUCAAUUAGCAUGUUUUUGUAACCCUACCC